rnacentral:tRNA from 1 species
UAGAAGGUAGUAUAUUGGUAGUACAAAGAAUUUUGGAUUCUUAGGUGUGGGUUCAAAUCCCAUUUUUCUAG